rnacentral:rRNA from 1 species
GACGAACGCUGGCGGCGUGCCUAAUACAUGCAAGUCGAACGCACUCUCGUUUAGAUUGAAGGAGUUUGCUCCUGAUUGAUAAACAUUUGAGUGAGUGGCGGACGGGUGAGUAACACGUGGGUAACCUGCCCUAAAGUGGGGGAUAACAUUUGGAAACAGAUGCUAAUACCGCAUAAAACCUAACACCGCAUGGUGUAGGGUUGAAAGAUGGUUUCGGCUAUCACUUUAGGAUGGACCCGCGGUGCAUUAGUUAGUUGGUGAGGUAAAGGCUCACCAAGACCGUGAUGCAUAGCCGACCUGAGAGGGUAAUCGGCCACACUGGGACUGAGACGCGGCCCAGACUCCUACGGGAGGCAGCAGUAGGGAAUCUUCCACAAUGGACGAAAGUCUGAUGGAGCAACGCCGCGUGAGUGAAGAAGGUUUUCGGAUCGUAAAACUCUGUUGUUGGAGAAGAAUGUAUCUGAUAGUAACUGAUCAGGUAGUGACGGUAUCCAACCAGAAAGCCACGGCUAACUACGUG